UCAAUGCCUGCGUGAGGGAUAGCAGCGGUAUCCUUUUAUGGAGCUCGCGGAAUAAAAGAUUUAGCGGAUAGCCCGACCCUUG
rnacentral:sRNA from 1 species